GACGAACGCUGGCGGCGUGCUUAACACAUGCAAGUCGAGCGCUGAAGCUCAGCUUUUGUUGGGUGGAUGAGUGGCGAACGGGUGAGUAACACGUGAGUAACCUGCCUCCUUCUUUGGGAUAACGCCCGGAAACGGGUGCUAAUACUGGAUAUUCACUGGUCUUCGCAUGGGGGUUGGUGGAAAGGGUUUUUCUGGUGGGGGAUGGGCUCGCGGCCUAUCAGCUUGUUGGUGGGGUGAUGGCCUACCAAGGCUUUGACGGGUAGCCGGCCUGAGAGGGUGACCGGUCACAUUGUGACUGGGAUGCGGCCCAGGCUCCUACGGGAGGCAGCAGUGGGGAAUAAUGCACAAUGGGCGCAAGAGUGAUGCAGCGACGCCGCGUGAGGGAUGGGGGCCUUAGGGUUGUGAACCUCUUUCGCUCAUGGUCAGGCCGCAACAAUGGUUGUGGUGAGGGUAGUGGGUAAAGAAGCGCCGGCUAACUACGUG
rnacentral:rRNA from 1 species